rnacentral:ncRNA from 1 species
CACGCUGAUCCUGUCACCGCUGCUGCCGGCGGUGGUGACGGGCGCACAGCGGUGCCGCUGGAUCCGUCGCCGCUGUUCCUGACCACGCGUCCGGAGCAGCGAACGGUCGGACCAGCGGACUCGGAGCGCGCACGCUGCUACCCGAAAGAUGGUGAACUAUGCAUGAGCAGGACGAAGCCAGAGGAAACUCUGGUGGAAGUUCGUAGCGGUGUUGACGUGCAAAUCACUCGCCCGACUUGUGCAUAGGGGCGAAAGACUAAUCGAACCAUUUAGUAGCUGGUUCCUUCCGAAGUUUCCCUCAGGAUAGCUGGCGUUCGCAUGCAGUUUUAUCCGGUAAAGCGAAUGAUCAGAGGUAUUGGGGACGCAAUGUCCUCAUCCUAUUCUCAAACUUUGAAUGGGUAAGAAGGCCGAUUUGCCUUGAGAAAUCGUGCCCAGCCGGAAUGCGUCGAACGGCUAGUGGGCUAGUUUUGGUAAGCAGAACUGACGAUGUGGGAUGAACCGAACGUCAGGUUACGGUGCCCAAUGUUCGGUGCUCAUCAGACACCAUGAAAGGUGUUGGUCGAUAUAGACAGCAGGACGGUGGCCAUGGAAGUUGGAAUCCGCCAAGGAGUGUGUAACAACUCACCUGCCGAAUCGACUAGCCCUGAAAAUGGAUGGCGCUCGAGCGCCGAGCCUGUACCUGACCGCCUGGGCAACGUUGUUGUCGGUCUCGCGCGUGCACUUGCUGCGGACGCUUGAAGGCCAAGGCGUGUAGGAAGAGGUCGCGACGGUGCGCGUUGAAGGUGUCGAGCGAGAGCUCGCCUGGAGCCGCCGUCGGUGCAGAUCUUGGUGGCAGUAGCAAUUAUUCAAGUGAGAACCUUGAAGGCCGAAGUGGAGAAGGGUUCCAUGUGAACAGCAAUUGCACAUGGGUCAGUCGAUCCUGAGAACGAGGCGAAAGCCCAAGCGCAACGGUGUGACGUCGUUCCUGACUUGUUCGCCGUAGCUAGCAGCACGCCGUACCGUUCGAAAGGGAAUCCGGUUGAAAUUCCGGAACCGAGACACGAAGAUGUACACCCGCGUCUCCGGUUGUCGCUUCCGCGGCCGCGGCGCCUCGUCGCCGCUGUCCGCUCGGUUUGCCCGACUGGAAGCACGCGGGACUGGUGCGCGCGGUAACGCCUCCGAACUCGGCGAGCAGCCGUCGGCAGUUCCGGAAAGAGUUUUCUUUUCUUCAUAAGGCACGCAGUCGCUGGAACCGGGUUGUCCGGAGAUAGCGACGAUGUCGCCGCAAAACGCCGCGUCUCCCGUGGCGUUCGGAACGCUCUCGACGGUCCGUGAAAAGCCGAGCUACGCCGUAUAAAUUCGUGCUCGCUCGUACCCAUAUCCGCAGCAGGUCUCCAAGGUGAACAGCCUCUGGCCAAUUGAACAAUGCAGAUAAGGGAAGUCGGCAAAACGGAUCCGUACCUUCGGAACAAGGAUUGGCUCUAAGGGCUGAACCGGUCGGGCUGAUGCUUCGAAGCGUGUUUGGUGCGGUCGCUGACUGCCGGUCCGAGGAGCUGCGCUUGCCCGGCGUCGCGUUCUCGCCGGCUGGGCGCGAGCGUGCGCGUGGCUUGUCCGCGCCGCGCCGUUGCUGCCGGACGUCUGCUACGCGUAGUCGAGGCGCUUCUUCUGAAGCCGCAGUCGGUAACGAAGCCUGCGCGCGGACGACUUCAGCUGUGUGCGCUUGUCCUGCUCGCGACAAGCCACUUCGUCCGGCAUUGAACAGCCGACUUAGAACUGGCACGGACACGAGGAAUCGGACUGUAUAAUUAAAACAAAGCAUUGCGACGGCCGGUGAUCGGUGUUGACGCAAUGUGAUUUCUGCCCAGUGCUCUGAAUGUCAAAGUGAAGAAAUUCAACCAAGCGCGGGUAAACGGCGGGAGUAACUAUGACUCUCUUGACUAAAGCUGCUGGAACAUCUCGAUAAAACAGCCACAGGUUGAACAGUAAAACAAGCUCAGCGUCCGUGAGGCUGCGCACAUGAUCUACAGUCACUCUAUCUGGCCCUGACGCUGAUUUUCGUGGAAUUUUGGCCAAAGCAGCUCUUACCUCGCACGGUAAGACUGGCGAAAUCAGUUCAGUCGAAUUCCUUCGCGCUGCUUGCGUGAAUUCCUUUGGCCUGUAUGGUGCGUCAUCCACCGGCGAGCAUUUUCCAAAGGCGUCUGAAUAAAACUUGACGCAGUCCGUAAGAGGUACGGUAUGCUCAACCGGCGGGGCAUCGUCUAAGACGACUUCGGCAAGUCUAGUUCUGUUCGUGUUGUACAGACGUUUCAACUGCCGGUAACGUAACUGCUUUUGUUGCCUGAGAGUGACUGGUGCCGCUGGAACAGCUGAGGCGCCGACUGGCCUGGUACGGUGGCGCGGUGGCGGUAAAAUGUAUUGUAAAACUGCAUCAGCCGUGCUGUCCAAGACAUGGAGGCCAUCUAGGGCCGAACGAGCGAGAAUGGUAAGUGCCUGGAGGAGCGUCCCUGCCGGAGCAUCCACACAGGACUCCUCUCGUAAAGCAGCAACUAGACACUGCGUUAGUCGCAUAUCCGAGUCGGCAGGAGAGGCCUGUUGGCCAACUGCAUGAGUGUCGGCAACGAUCAACGACUCUGCAGGUAAAACCGUGGCUGACUGCCCAGGUAAAACGUAGCAUUCAUGAGGUAAAACAUCAGACGCUGGAAACGUCGACUCGUCUGGUAAAACUUCCGCUUGCAAAGAAACGGCGGACGAAGAAGGUAAAACAGGCUGCUGAGUGGAUAAAACAUGUUCAGACGUAGGAAGCGUCGACUCGCCUGGUAAAACAUGCCCUUCAUGAGGUAAAACAUCGGCGACUGCAGGAACGGCAGAUAAAACCGAUGAAGCAGACCCGUAAUCGUGAAUGGCAGACGAUUCAGCUCUC